GACGAACGCUGGCGGCGCGCUUAACACAUGCAAGUCGAGCGAAGUGGCGAACGGGUGAGUAAUACGUGGGUAACCUGCCCUCCUUUUUGGGAUAAGCCUUGGAAACGGGGUCUAAUACCGAAUAAAGGGGGAUGGGCUCGCGGCCUAUCAGCUUGUUGGUGGGGUGAUGGCCUACCAAGGCGGUGACGGGUAGCCGGCCUGAGAGGGUGACCGGCCACAUUGGGACUGAGAUACGGCCCAGACUCCUACGGAAGGGAGCAGUGGGGGAUAUUACAGAAUGGGCGAAAGCCUGAUGCAGCGGCGCGGCGGGGGGGAUGAAGGCUUUCGGAUUGUAAACCUCUUUCGCUAUCGAAGGGGUAGGUGGAGAAGAAGCGCCGGCUAACUACGUGCCAGCCGCCGCGGUAAUUC
rnacentral:rRNA from 1 species